GUGUACACAAGACAGAGCUCUCAUCAAGUUUAGGUAAACUUUACAAUUAAAUCCACCUUCAAAAAUUAGUUUCAUAAUUUUAUCCGUAUUAUUCUUAUAAAUGUAACCCACCUCUUUCUUUUAUAUAAGUUGCACCUUUACUUGAAGUCAAUGGUUUUAUCAAAAAUGAAAGUUUUCUAAAGAAACUAACUGACAACAGCGGUAUACAAACUGAUUUCAAAUAAAAGUAAGGUAUUCGUGGUUCAUCGUUCACAGGGCAGGUUCCUCUAAAUGGCUAUCUUGCCGCCAAAUCCGUUAAAUUUCAUAAAAAAUACUACUCCAAAAAAUUUUAAUUAUAAGUA
rnacentral:rRNA from 1 species